GAUGAACGCUAGCGGCAGGCUUAAUACAUUCAAGUCGAGGGGCAACAUGGUGUAGCAAUACACUGAUGGCGACCGGCAAACGGGUGCGGAACACGUACAGAACCUUCCUUCGAGCGGGGAAUAGCCCAGAGAAAUUUGGAUUAAUACCCCAUAGUAUAAUGAAGAGGCAUCUCUUUAUUAUUAAAGAUUUAUCACUUGAAGAUGGCUGUGCGGCUGAUUAGGUAGUUGGCGGGGUAACGGCCCACCAAGCCUACGAUCAGUAACUGGUGUGAGAGCACGACCAGUCACACGGGCACUGAGACACGUGCCCGACUCCUACGGGAGGCAGCAGUAAGGAAUAUUGGUCAAUGGACGAAAGUCUGAACCAGCCAUGCCGCGUGGAGGAUGAAGGUCCUCUGGAUUGUAAACUUCUUUUAUAUGGGACGAAAAAAGACUUUUCUAAGUCGUCUGACGGUACCAUAUGAAUAAGCACCGGCUAACUACGUGCCAGCCGCCGCAGUAA
rnacentral:rRNA from 1 species